rnacentral:lncRNA from 1 species
GGCUUCAUCGACAUCGGCUUGUACUUUAGGACUAUGACCAACCGGAUCGGAGAUCGGAGAUACAUUCGAAUCCAACUCAUAAGGAACCAGAGUUGGAGGAGCUUCGGAAUCGCUUGAUUCGUCAAUGAACUGAGGAAGAUGAAGAGCACCAUCAUCACGAUUGGACGGAGCACCGCGUCCUCUUCCGACCAAACCUUUUCGAGUAGCUUUCACCAUUGUUGUGUGAUACCCGAGGCUUCUUGUCUUCCUCUUCUCUCCUUUUAAAAAAAAAAAACAACUUGUUACCACUCUGAAGUCGAAUCCCUCUUUUUCCUUUAAAAAGAUUUUCUAUUCUUUUUUGAAAGGCCGAAUCUCGAGAAAAUAAAAAAAAGUCUUUCUUUCCUCCUCUUUUUUAAAUUUAAAUUUUGA